rnacentral:misc_RNA from 1 species
GUUUUAUUAUAAAAUUUUUUAUUUAUGUAAGAUAAUAUAUCAUAUAUUUGUUGUUUAGCCAAUAGCCCAAUAGUAGGAAUUCGAGUGACCACCCCAUUUUCAUCAAGCCAAACCCAGACCCUGUUCAAUCUGUAGUCCAGAAUCACAGGCAUUCCCUCCUUGAUCACGAUUGCUCCCACAUUUUUAUUCUAUGGUAGCCACUGCAGAGUCCCCGUUGGCCCCGACGAGCUCCGGCCAUGAACUCUUAACUG